rnacentral:rRNA from 1 species
CCUACGGGAGGCAGCAGUGAGGAAUAUUGGUCAAUGGGCGGGAGCCUGAACCAGCCAAGUCGCGUGAGGGAUGACGGCACUAUGGGUUGUAAACCUCUUUUGCCGGGGAGCAAAGUUCCGCACGUGUCCGGGUUGGAGAGUACCCGAAGAAAAAGCAUCGGCUAACUCCGUGCCAGCAGCCGCGGUAAUACGGAGGAUGCGAGCGUUAUCCGGAUUUAUUGGGUUUAAAGGGUGCGUAGGCGGGCGCUUAAUUCAGCGGGAAAAUUGCGGGGCUCAACCUCGUCGCGCCGUUGAAACUGGGUGCCUUGAGUGGGCGAGAAGUACGCGGAAUGCGGGGUGUAGCGGUGAAAUGCAUAGAGAUCACGCAGAACUCCGAUUGCGAAGGCAGCGUACCGGCGCCCAACUGACGCUGAAGCACGAAGGCGUGGGUAUCGAACAGGAUUAGAUACCCCGGUAGUC